AUCCCUGUGGCUCAGUUGGUAGAGCAUGGUGUUUGCAACGCCAGCAUGGUGUGUGCAACGCCAGGGUUGUGGGUUCGAUUCCCACGGGGGGCC
rfam:Salmo salar isolate Sally breed double haploid chromosome ssa13, whole genome shotgun sequence.